ensembl:misc_RNA Metazoa_SRP Metazoan signal recognition particle RNA
GCCGGGCGCGGUGGCUCAUGCCUGUAAUCCCAGCACUUUGGGAGGCCGAGGUGGGCGGAUCACCUGAGGUCAGGAGUUCAAGACCAGCCUGGCCAACAUGGUGAGACCCCGUCUCUA